AUGAACGCUGGCGGCGUGCCUAAUACAUGCAAGUCGAGCGCACGGACGAGAAGCUUGCUUCUCUGAUGUUAGCGGCGGACGGGUGAGUAACACGUGGAUAACCUACCUAUAAGACUGGGAUAACUUCGGGAAACCGGAGCUAAUACCGGAUGAUAUUUUGAACCGCAUGGUUCAAAAGUGAAAGACGGUCUUGCUGUCACUUAUAGAUGGAUCCGCGCUGCAUUAGCUAGUUGGUAAGGUAACGGCUUACCAAGGCAACGAUGCAUAGCCGACCUGAGAGGGUGAUCGGCCACACUGGAACUGAGACACGGUACAGACUCCUACGGGAGGCAGCAGUAGGGAAUCUUCCGCAAUGGGCGAAAGCCUGACGGAGCAACGCCGCGUGAGUGAUGAAGGUCUUCGGAUCGUAAAACUCUGUUAUUAGGGAAGAACAUAUGUGUAAGUAACUGUGCACAUCUUGACGGUACCUAAUCAGAAAGCCACGGCUAACUACGUG
rnacentral:rRNA from 1 species